AUUGAACGCUGGCGGCAUGCCUUACACAUGCAAGUCGAACGGCAGCACGGGGCAACCUGGUGGCGAGUGGCGAACGGGUGAGUAAUGCAUCGGAACGUACCUUUCAGUGGGGGAUAACGUAGCGAAAGUUACGCUAAUACCGCAUAUUCUGUGAGCAGGAAAGCAGGGGAUCGCAAGACCUUGCGCUGAUUGAGCGGCCGAGGUCAGAUUAGCUCGUUGGUGAGGUAAAGGCUCACCAAGGCGACGAUCUGUAGCGGGUCUGAGAGGAUGAUCCGCCACACUGGAACUGAGACACGGUCCAGACUCCUACGGGAGGCAGCAGUGGGGAAUUUUGGACAAUGGGGGCAACCCUGAUCCAGCCAUGCCGCGUGAGUGAAGAAGGCCUUCGGGUUGUAAAGCUCUUUCGGCCGGGAAGAAAUCGCACGGGCUAAUACCCUGUGUGGAUGACGGUACCGGAAUAAGAAGCACCGGCUAACUACGUGCCAGCAGCCGCCGUAACAC
rnacentral:rRNA from 1 species